GACGAACGCUGGCGGCGUGCUUAACACAUGCCAGUCGAACGAAGAGCGACGGAAUCUUGCUUCUAUCAAUCUUACUGGCGAACGGGUGAGUAACGCGUAAUCAACCUGCCCUUCAGCGGGGUACAACAGUAGGAAACGAAUGCUAAUACCAUAUACGAUCUAACCUCGGCAUCGAGGCUAGAUGAAAGCUGGCUUCUACAUUUAAUCUAUCACUGAAGGCGGAAAUUCCGUCUGAUUAGCUAGUUGGAGGGGUAACGGCCCACCAAGGCGAUGAUCAGUAGCCGGUCUGAGAGGAGGGACGGCCACAUUGGGACUGAGAAACGACACAGAGUCCUACGGGAGGCAGCAGUGGGGAAUCUUGAGUAAUGGACGAAAGGCGGAAGGAGGAAGGCCGCGUGAGUGAUGACGGCCGUCGGGUUGUAAAGCUCUGUUAAUCGGGACGAAAGGGCUUCUUGCGAAUAGUGAGAAGGAUUGACGGUACCGGAAGAGAAAGCCACGGCUAACUACGUG
rnacentral:rRNA from 1 species